AUACGGAAGGUCCGGGCGUUAUCCGGAUUUAUUGGGUUUAAAGGGAGCGCAGGCGGAGAUGCAAGCGUGACGUCAAAUUUCUGGGCUCAACCCCGUCUCGCGUCGCGAACUGCGUCCCUUGGUUGCGGGAAGGGGAGGCGGAACUCGUGGGGUAGCGGUGAAAUGCAUAGAUAUCACGAAGAACUCCGAUCGCGAAGGCAGCCUUCCGGCCCGUCAACGACGCUCAUGCUCGAAGGUGCGGGUAUCAAACAGGAUUAGAUACCCUGGUAGUCCGCACAGUAAACGAUGGACACCCGCGGUUUGGCCUGUAUGGCUGAGCCGCCAAGCGAAAGCGUUAAGUGUCCCACCUGGGGAGUACGCCGGCAACGGUGAAACUCAAAGGAAUUGACGGGG
rnacentral:rRNA from 1 species